AAGCUCGUAGUUGAAUUUCGGGAUCAAAUUGUCGGUCGUGCCUCGGUACGUACUGGCGUUAUUGGUUCCUCCCUUCUGAAGAACCGCGAUGUCAUUAAUUUGGUGUCGCGGGGAAUCAGGACUGUUACUUUGAAAAAAUUAGAGUGUUUAAAGCAGGCUCGCGCUUGAAUACAUUAGCAUGGAAUAAUGAAAUAGGACGUUUGAUUCUAUUUUGUUGGUUUCUAGGAUCGACGUAAUGAUUAAUAGGGAUAGUUGGGGGCAUUAGUAUUCAAUUGUCAGAGGUGAAAUUCUUGGAUUUAUUGAAGACUAACUACUGCGAAAGCAUUUGCCAAGGAUGUUCUCAUUAAUCAAGAACGAAAGUUAGGGGAUCGAAGACGAUCAGAUACCGUCGUAGUCUUAACCAUAAACUAUGCCGACUAGGGAUCGGAUGAUGUUAAUUUUUUAAUGACUCAUUCGGCGCCUUACGGGAAACCAAAGUGUUUGGGUUCCGGGGGGAGUAUGGUCGCAAGGCUGAAACUUAAAGGAAUUGACGGAAGGGCACCACCAGGGGUGGAGCCUGCGGCUUAAUUUGACUCAACACGGGGAAACUUACCAGGUCCAGACAUAGCAAGGAUUGACAGACUGAGAGCUCUUUCUUGAUUCUAUGGGUG
rnacentral:rRNA from 1 species